AUUGGGCGUAAGGGCUUGUAGGCGGUUUGUCGCGUCGGAAGUGAAAACUCAGGGCUUAACCCUGAGCCUGCUUCCGAUACGGGCAAACUAGAGGAAUGCAGGGGAGAAUGGAAUUCCUGGUGGAGCGGUGGAAUGCGCAGAUAUCAGGAGGAACACCAGUGGCGAAGGCGGUUCUCUGGGCAUUUCCUGACGCUGAGAAGCGAAAGCGUGGGGAGCAAACAGGCUUAGAUACCCUGGUAGUCCACGCCGUAAACGGUGGGCACUAGGUGUGGGACUCAUUCCACGAGUUCCGUGCCGUAGCUAACGCAUUAAGUGCCCCGCCUGGGGAGUACGGCCGCAAGGCUAAAACUCAAAGGAAUUGACGGGGGCCCGCACAAGCGGCGGAGCAUGCGGAUUAAUUCGAUGCAACGCGAAGAACCUUACCUAGGUUUGACAUAUACCGGAAAGCUGCAGAGAUGUAGCCCCCGCAAGGUCGGUAUACAGGUGGUGCAUGGCUGUCGUCAGCUCGUGUCGUGAGA
rnacentral:rRNA from 1 species